CAGCUGACGGUCAUUCCACCGCGAUACAACCGGCUGACGAUUUUUUUUUUAUUAACAAUAGCACCUAAACUAUCAUCUGACAAAUUUUCACCCGGGAGGCGAUGACUGACGAAAUUUGCGCCUGG